UGGGGGGGGGGGGAGGUCUUCCAUCCGCUGGUUCACUCCCCAGAUGGCCUCAACGGCCGGAGCUGCACCGAUCAGGAGCCAGGAGCUUCUUCUGGGUCUUCUACGCAGGUGCAGGGGCCCAAGGACCUGGGCCAUCUUCUGCUGCUUUCCCAGGCCAUAGCAGAGAGCUGGAUCAGAAGUGGAGCAGCCGGGACUAGAACUGGCACCCAUAUGGGAUGCCAGCUCUUCAGGCCAGGGUGUUAACCCGCUGCACCACAGUGCCAGCCCCCCACAUCUCUUUUCCUCGUGGCGAGCCCACCAUCUUUCCGUCCUCCAAGCAGGAAACGUCUCUGAUCCACCUGUAGCUUCCCCAGCAGGUCUCCCUCCACGUGACAGCGACGCUGUUGAAGGCCACCUCCUUGCCUGCCCCGUCCGUCUUCCCUCCGCGGCGCAUCUGUCUUCCAAGGGUGCUCUGUUGCUGAGGUUGUCCAGUCAUUCAAGACCGCGUCCUUCCUCAGCUGCCCUUUCUAGAACUUCUUCCCCUCUCCACGCUCCCCUGGCCUGCCUGCCAACCACUUCCCACACAGCAGGCCUCCUGGCCUCUGUGCCAUCGCUGGUGGGCCUGCCUCUCCCGGCGGUCUUCCCCGAGUCCCUGCUCCCGCCUAGUCUGUUCUUGGACACGGCGCCUGCUGGCUGCUGGGCGGGCUGGAUGGUAAUCGGUUCUCCGGAACAUUUGUUACGUGCUCUGGAAAGCCGCUCCCAGCUUUCUCUGAGAACUCGCACCUGGUUCUUCACCGUAUCGGUCUGAUUGCGUUUUUUCUGUAUUGGCUCUUUUAACUGCCAAGCUCCUGUUGGUUUUCGCCCAUUUGAUUUUCCUCCGUUCACUUCGGUUCUCAGCAUUUACUCAUAGUCUGUCAGAACGAGGAAGCUGUGAAAACCAGAGGUGUUCUGGGCCGUGUCUGGAUCUGCCACAGUGUGAGGUGCACGGGAAGUGACGGGUAACUUUCCAGUCCCCAGAGCUGCCGCUGUUACUCAUGUCGCCCCCAUGCCAGGUCCAGACGGCGCUGGGAACAGGGGUCUGUUGUUACAGGGAUGCGUGCCCUCCACCAGUGUGACGCGGGCUCCGACCGAGGAGGGGUGGAGCCCCCACAGACUCAACGAGGGGACACCAGGACAGUCCGGGAACCUGGCCCUGCUGGGACUUCCGGCAUCCCGGCCUGAUGAACUCCUCGCUGGACCAGAGGGAGGCCUCGUGGCUGCUGAAGGGAGCUGACCCCGGAAGCUCCUGUCCAGGGCAGUUGCUCUUUAAUCUCUGCAGAUGGGAAGGUCCCUGCGUCACCUAGGCACGCGCUUUCUGAGGAGCCACUGCAGGACCCAGGUGCAGCGGUGCCCGCGGGGCAGGCAGAGCGCGGUCUGAGCCGUCGCAGCACACGGGAAGCCGUACAGGUGCCAGGUGCGGCAGGGCCUCCAGCGACUGCUCCUCACUGUCCCAGCAUCAGAAGAGCCACAUGGGGCAGGGGAGAAGCCCUAUGCGUGUGGGGAGUGCGGCAGGGCCUUCAGCCCGAGCACCAACCUUCUAAUCCACCAGAAGACCCACACGGGGAGAAGCCCUACUCUUCAGUGAGAGCUCGGCGCUCAUUCUGCAUCACGUAAUCCACUCAGAGUGCGGGAAGGCGUUCAGCCAGAGCUCCUCACUCUAGAAUCCACACGGGCCUGAAGCCAUACAGGUGCAGAGAGCUCGGCGGGGCCUUCUGGCACAGCUCAGCCUGUCAGACACCAGACUCCACACCAGACAGUAACUGCACAGCGCCCCGCCUGCUGCCUCAACUGAGCCCUACAAGCACCUGUAAUAAAGCCAGUUUGUCUUUUAAAA